rnacentral:rRNA from 1 species
UACGGAGGGUGCAAGCGUUAUCCGGAUUUACUGGGUUUAAAGGGUGUGUAGGCGGGCUAUUAAGUCAGUGGUGAAAUCUCCGGGCUCAACCCGGAAACUGCCAUUGAUACUAUUAGUCUUGAAUUCUGUUGAGGUGGGCGGAAUAAGUCAUGUAGCGGUGAAAUGCAUAGAUAUGACUUAGAACACCAAUUGCGAAGGCAGCUCGUUAAACAGACAUUGACGCUGAGGCACGAAAGCGUGGGGAUCAAACAGG